GCCAUGUCACACGGGAGAUGGAGUUAUUCCUCAAAUCAGUCUCAUCGAAGGCUCAGAGGCAACCUACAACUAUUCUGGGGAGCUCCAUUGUCAACAAUCCAGCUUUCUUCUAUCUUAUACCACCAUCUUCAUCAUGUGGACUCCACAUUACCUCCUGGUUGACAAUAUCCCUUCCACUUCCAGCAAACUCAUUCUGGCCAGCAGGAAAGAUUUUUUGUUGUUGUUUUAAAGGAUUCUCCCAUUCUUCCCUCUAAUGACACCUCUCAGCGGAUGCACCAAGCACAGUCAUUUGUACACUCUUGGCCAAAACUUAGUCUUGUGUCCAUAGGACUAGCAAUGACAGCUGAAAAAUAAUCUUUAGGUCCAGCAGCCAAGCUUCCAUCUAACAUUUGAGGAUUCUUACUAAGGAAGAAGGGACGAAUGAAUAUUUGGAACUCUUAUUGCAGUCUCCAAUACAGUCAGUCCCUUUGGUCACCCAACCACCUGUGCACAACCUUCCUCUCCAUAAAGGACCUGUUCAUACCCUCCUCAAAAGACACAACAGCAAAGCCCCAACCAGGCACAGCUUCCAGAUCAAAGUCCAGGACCUCUGGGAGAUAACUCUCAGUCAAGUCUAGAUAUGGAUCUUUGUGAUCUGGUGACCUCAUCUGCCUCAAAAACACCAAAGAUGCAAUGGAGGAGCAAGAAGCAGAUUAACUGCAUGCAAUUAAAUCUACGAUUUGGUAAUGGGGAGCAGAGAAAAUACACAGCAGUCACUAGUCCAUUAUAAUUAAUAAAUUCCAUUGUUCUUUGGUAGUAGAGUGCUUAUUUUGACCAUCUGACAUCCUGGAUUCUGGUCUUGGAGAGUAAUUCCCUUGUCCACUGUCCUGUCUAAUCUGUUCUCUCUUGUCCAUUAUCUUCCAUGAACAAAUUGAAAUAGACAUUUUAUAUGGUUUGACUCUGUAUCCUCACCCAAAUUUCAUGUUGAAAUGUAAUCCCCAGUGCUGGAGAGGGGGGCUGGCGGGGGGUGAUUUGGAUCAUGAGGGCAGUUUCUAAUGGUUCAGCACCGGCCCCCAGUGCUGUU
rnacentral:lncRNA from 1 species